UACGUAGGGGGCAAGCGUUGUCCGGAUUUAUUGGGCGUAAAGAGCGUGUAGGCGGCUAGGUAGGUCCGUUGUGAAAACUAGAGGCUUAACCUCUAGACGUCGAUGGAAACCGUCUGGCUAGAGUCCGGAAGAGGAGAAUGGAAUUCCUGGUGUAGCGGUGAAAUGCGCAGAUAUCAGGAAGAACACCCGUGGCUAAGGCGGUUCUCUAGUACGGUACUGACGCUGAGACGCGAAAGCGUGGGGAGCGAACAGG
rnacentral:rRNA from 1 species